rnacentral:tRNA from 1 species
AUUAAAGUGUCUGAAUAAAGUAGUAAACUGUAAAUUUACUUAAGAAAUAAUUUUUCCUUUAAUA